AAACCAUGAUAAGAGCAGUCUCUCUCAUAUUCCUUGAAUCGUUCCCAUGCCUCAUAGAAUGAUUCUAUUGUGCCUUGUUGGAAACUUUGGAUCUUGUUCCUCAGCU
rnacentral:snoRNA from 1 species